rnacentral:lncRNA from 1 species
GUGGAAGCCUGUGGGGAGAGCUGCAGGUGGGUGGCUGUUGGUGCAGGAGUUCUGGAGGAAGGAGCUGGCAGGGCACCCCCCACCUCCCUGCACCUGGGCUGCCACUUGGAGGUCUGGCUUCAAUCUCUGGGCUGAAGGAGAAAACAAUAGACAGAUGGUCUUCUAGGGAAUGGGUCACAAUUGGCUGGGGAAGCCCCGGAUCUCUUGUGAUUACAGAUGGCUCCUAUUUUUCAGCCACAAAUAAUGACUGUCCCUGUAGUUAUUAAUAUAAUCCUUCAUUCCUUUGUGAAAUUCCUGAACUUCCCUGGAUUCAGUUUGUUCUACACUAAUAACCACAGGGAAAUGGCAGGUCACUCCUCUGUGCAGUUAGACUGCAUCUCCGGUGGACUUUUCGUGUGACCACAAACUGAGGAAGCCAUCAUGACUAAGACCCACGUCUAGCUCAG